UAAAUACUGUAUCCGUCAAUCAUGCUUGACAAUUAGGUGGAGUUUCUACCAGCACCAAGGGCUAAGCUCUGGCAGCACAAAGAAGUGCUGCUGUAACUCUGGGAAUCUGGAGGUUCUAACACUAUUGAUUUUUUAGAAGCAUGAUAUAGUUAAAUAUAGCCAAACAGCUCUUGAUUAUUGGAAUUCACCCUUUCAUGAAUGUGCUACCUUAUUGUGCUCUUCAUAAUCAUGUUGUGAACUCGGCAGUUGUUGGUAACAUUUGACACACUCGUUGUUGAUGGAAGUCUUAUGUAUUGGACCUCACUUUUUUGUUGGCAGAGACUUUAACUAGUGUUGCAGGACUACCUUUUAUUUCUUUUUUUAGUCGUCUGAAGAUGCACGGCCACGAGUUUCUUUUGUCCUGCACUUUUUUACACCAACGCAGGUUUCUAUUGUACUGCACUUUAUUUGUAUGGUAUUGAGCUAGUUCUUUUUGUAAUGUUUCUCGAGUCUAUUGUGGUUCUUGAUCAUGUGUGGUUUGUACAUGCCGCUACAGUAAGUCCUUCCAUUUUUAAUGGUCACUUUGAUCACUUGCUGCAGCAGUAACAUGGAAUCAGAUCCUGUAAAAAUUGCUGUUGAUGGAGUUGAAACAUUUAAGAAAGAAAACCGUGAUUUGAUUUUUGUGGAUACAAGAGGACAACACAAACAGGAAGCUUCUCUGUUUGAAGAAAUGCCGAAGUGUCAGUAGCAACAGUAGAUAUAUUGUUCUUUUCAAUCACAUAUUCAACUGGCAGAUGUUCUAACAGAAAUUUGCUGGUUUUUCUUGUUCCUUUUUCUCAGAAUACCGAUCUUAUAAUAUUUGUCAUGGAGAGCAGUAUUGGUCAAGCAACAUUUGAUCAAGCACAAGCAACUCUCUGGCCUUAUUUUCAAAUAUAACUUCAAAAAAAGUGUAGCCAUUGGAGCUGUGAUUAUUAUUUUCAAAUAUAACUUGCAAGGUCAACAAUCUGGUCCGGACCUCUCUGGCCUUUUUAUCUUUUUUUUUCCUUUUCUGAAACUUUGAUUGAUAUUUUGUUUAGCAUGUACACUGCAACUUUUCAUUAUUACUAAGUACUAAGUUAUACCCUCUUGCAGGCAGCUUCUUCUUCCUUUUUGGUGACCUACCUUCCUUGAGAAAAUUUUUGAAUUGUCCAUUGGAAACAAUAGGAAAUUGUAUUGCACUAUACAAUGUUGUCUUGUAUAGCACAUGAUAUGAUUAUAUAGCAAGCUGUAAUUAUAUUUCACAGACACUUUUUUUCCAACGUAUAGAAACUUGUGUUUGUUGCAUAUACAAAUUUGAAUUUACAUUUGACUCCCAGUUUUUCUGUUAAAAUAGAUAGUGAUUAUUGCUACUUGGUUUGCUUGCAGAGUUGCAGCCACCAAAAGACCAGCCCCUUUAUUGGAACAGGAGAGCACAUGGAGGAGUUUGAAAAUUUCGAUGUCAAGCCAUUUGUCAGUCGUCUUUUAGUUGUACCUACUGAUCAACAACCUGAGCUUUUUCAAAAGCUCUCCAAAGGAAGCUUUACCCUGCGGCUUAUGUGCCAGCUGUUCAAAAACAUUUCUCAAAAUGGAUCCUACAGUUAUUCUCUAUGCUACCUUGGUUUAGUGCCAAGUUGAUGUCAGAAAGUCAUGAAAAGGAAAGUCAAGCAAAAAUCAAGCUGUUUAUGACAAUAAUGGAUUCCAUGACAAAUGCAGAGCUGGACGGCACAAACCCAAAACUGAUGAAUGAAUACCAUACACUGCACACUGCGAGGGGUUCGGAAAGGUCAGUCAGAGAUGUCACAGAAAUGCUGGAGGAACACAAGCGCGCUUCGCAAAGAUGUGCAGCGAGAUGAAGGGGUAGUUCAAGAUCUCAGAAAGGUGAAAUGAGUGCAUUGUCUCGGAACAUGAAUGCAUGGCACAUGAGCAAGGUCCUACCACCGCAGAUGCUGAAGCAGAUCGGUGGCAUGGGUGGCCUCCAGAACUUCAUGAAGCAGAUGGGAUUGAAAGACAUGGGUGGGUUGGUGGGAUCUUCGGAUGAGGGUACAAAUAGAAUAAUACUUUAUAUAAUCUAACACAUCGCCUUGCGAUUAUACUUCACUGUGCUGUGAUUAUCAAGAUGGUUUAUUUUUCGGACAUCCAUGAAUCCUUCGAUUAUUUCGGAUGUCUUUGCCUUGCCUGUGCAUCGUUGGAUGAUUUAUGCAAGGAAUGGGCCGUGUUGUGUGUAUCUAAACUCAAGAAGUGAAGCACCUUAAGGUGUUAAAGGUGUCUAUAAAUCAUUCGAUCCAACUCAGUGUCGAUCGAUGUCUCAAUCAUCAAGAACUGGUGGUAGUUGAGUUUUGUUAUAUGUGGUCAAAUUUGUGACAAU